rfam:Gossypium raimondii Chr10_contig_24, whole genome shotgun sequence.
UGUUAAAAAUUUCAUCCAUUUUUACCGUUAAAAACUUACGUGCGAAUAGUGUACCUCAUGCUGACAUAUAGGGACCAGCUUUUAACGGUAGAAAUGGAUAAACUUUUUUAAUA